UAAAAUAAAGCUUUAAGCAUUUCAGUUACAUUGAAGGGGAAUUAUUUUAA
rnacentral:tRNA from 1 species